GUUUUUAAGUUUAAUUUGUUUAUGUUAAUUUCUAUGAAACAGGUUUAAAAUAUAAAUUCCUAUAUAAAUGGCAUCUAGGGGUACAAAUGGCAGUAAACAUAUUUUUAAUUGGCGUGAGGAUUAUGAGGGGGUCCUUGGAAAAUUUUCUCACCUGUAAGGGGUCCCUGGGCCCAAAAAAUUUGAGAACCCCUGGACUAGACCAUGACUGGCCAUUUGCCCCAAAACAACAUGAUAUUAACCCAGCUGGCAAAAAGUCAUGAACAGUCCACAACCUGGGUUAGGCAUGAUAAGCAUGGGUCUGGUUACAGCUGUCAAGGGAAAAACACUUCAGCACUAUUGUAACUAUUGUCUUAGGUAGGUCCCUUAGAUAUACUGCAAUAGGCCUAGACUGCUGGGGGAGCUCCCAAGAUAUACUGAGCACCAUAACAAAGUAGCCUAUGUGACACAGGUUAACUCUGUAACUCAUUUUCUUCAAUUCUAGCCCUGCUGUCAUGGUCCCCAUCCUCUUCCCCAGCUCCGGUCCAGUUUUUGUGUCUGUCCCGUCUUCCCCUCUCCCACUGUGUUUGUGUGUGUGCUUUCCUACAGGGGUGUGGUGUGGCACCGGCACAGCUGCAAUCUAUCACUCAUCAUCUACCGCUUAUCAUCCCUGGUCUGACCUCCACUCCACGCCAGUUUGUUCCGUCCACCCAUGUGUCUUCUGCCGGUGCCCUUGUCCGCCCCUGAGGAUCCCUCACUUGUCCCAGCAGACCUCCUGGCUUCUCCCCCCGGACUCGUUCUCCCCUCACCUGACUCCACUACCUGACUCCCAGUCCUGGACGUUUCCCUCAACCCCCUUUUUGCUCACCUGUUGUACUUUAUUGCUGUCGCAAUAAAACUACUUCCUUCUCUA